rnacentral:rRNA from 1 species
CGGCCCCUACGGGAGGCAGCAGUGGGGAAUAUUGGGCAAUGGGCGCAAGCCUGACCCAGCAACGCCGCGUGAAGGAAGAAGGCUUUCGGGUUGUAAACUCCUUUUGACAGGGAAGAGUAGAAGACGGUACCUGUCGAAUAAGCCACGGCUAACUACGUGCCAGCAGCCGCGGUAAUACGUAGGUGGCAAGCGUUGUCCGGAUUUACUGGGUGUAAAGGGCGUGUAGCCGGAUUGACGAGUCAGAUGUGAAAUCCUGCGGCUUAACCCCAGACCUGCAUUUGAAACUGUUGAUCUUGAGUACUGGG